rnacentral:lncRNA from 1 species
CUGAUUUGUCUCUGGCGAAAAGUCAGUCUCAAAGUCAGACUUCACCAUGUUCUAGCAUUUACCACUACAUCAAGUUUGGGAAUGUUGCACUAGAUAAAAAACAAUGGGAUGUCAGCACAAGGUUGUUUGAAAAAGCUAUGAAGCAAGAUGAAAGUUGGGCAGCCAUAGCUUUUUACAGCCAUGCGUACUGCACUAUAAAGCAGCAGAAGGGAGAUUACAUCACAGAGGCCCUAGAUGAUCUCCAGAAAGCACAGGAGUCUCUGAAAUACCUAGUCGAGGAAAGCAUGGUCUGCCUGCAGUUGGUAAAAAUGUCCUCUGUUUUCUCAGCCACCAGUAACCAAACCAGCCUUGAAAAACAGUUAAUAACCAAGUGCAACAUUUUGGGAUACUUUGAUCAAAACAUCAGUGAGGCUGUAAAGAAGCUGGAAGAGAUACAAGAAAGAAAAAGGGAUGCGAUAGCCAAAAAAUCACCCAUGUUCUCCCUGGUGUCAAGCGCUGAUGAAGAUCUUCAAGUGGAGGCCUACAAUCUGUACAGACAAGGUCUAAAAUAUGUCUUCGCUGUGGAAGAGAAGCCUCGUUUCCCAUGGGGAGCUCUGCUGGUGUUCUGUUUAGGAGUUUUGCAGAUUGUUGGAGGGGUGCUUCUCGCUGUAUUUACAUAUGGAACAUUAGCUCAAUUCGGCAUGGGGCUAAUCACUGAAGGAAUAUCAGACUGCUUUUCUGGCAUUGAGUCCAUGGUGACAGGAGAAUUCAGUUGGCAAUCAUGGGCUACAGAGAAAGCCAUUUCUAUUGGUAUAUCUCUCAUUGGGUUUGGAGUUGGAAAAGUUAUUGCAAAAGGUUUCAAACCUUCAAAAUUUUUUAUAAAAUUUGGCAAAGAACUGAAGUCAAUGCCAAAGUUUCUCUCUGAACAGGCUAAGCAUGGCCUUAGUGUUACUAUAAAGACAAAUAUGAAGACCACACUGAAGCACACAGCAAAAACAGUGGUAAAAAAAAUUAAAGUUAAAGUUAAUGGUAAAUAUGGACUAGGAACAAAAGGAACGGCAAAA